UAUAAAUUUUCGAAACAAUUGUACUCUCCUGGCAAAAUUUUUGGAAAGAAUAGAAUUUCCGCACGAGGAUUGCUUCUCCGUGACUUAGAUUUACAGGAAUUCCGCUACCAAUAUUCAGAUUUAGGACAGACGACGUCCCUUUUGUGUGUUUCUGCAUUUUACUGUUGACAGGGGGACAAUAUUGGCCAUUUCUGUGAGUGCCUCUUCUGUAGGGUCCCCACACGGGCAAUAUUUCAUCUCGUGGUACUCUUUCUUUUAUUGCCAAAAAAGUAUUUCAUUCCAUGUUCCUGUUUGUACUCAAAAAGCUAUGUUACAUACACAAAAAACCUCUGCUGAUAUCACUCUUCAGAUAGCCCUACGAACUGCAACAUCCUCACUUCUCCUUCAGAGUGGUGGCUUUGUACUUUCACCUUCAGGACUCGAGUCCAGAUGACUGGUUUUCCCUGAAUCCCGUCAUAAAUGUUACUUGAAUGGAAGUUUUUGAAAUUUUGAGAGGAGCUUUUGUGUGAUAUGAUGGUGGGUAAAGUGACUGUUUUCUGAAUAAAGGAACGACACAGCGCCGAGAUUAGCUUUUAUUAGGGCAACGUUUCGCUUUGUGUACAACUACACCUGAGUAGAGGUGUCCCUGUGUGCGUUCUUGUAAGUGUACGGACAAAAGUUAAAGAGAUAUCUCUCCCCUCCAGUCUCUCAUCUUUCCUUAAUGUACCAGACAAUACACACCUUUCUCUCUCAUUCCCUUCUUCACUUUUCACAUCUCCCCCCCGUCUCUCUAUCUUUCCUCUUCCUUUCCCCACCUCCUGUUUUCAUCAUUCUUUUUCCUUCUCUCCCAUUUCCCUCUGUCUCACCUCUUUCUCUGCCAUUUGCGUUCUCUCCGUUCCCUUCUCCUUCCAUCUCGCUCUUCCUCUUACCAUCUUUCUCUUCCUCUAUCUCCCCUCUUCCACCCAGUGUGCUUUUUUAGCACCGUUGAAUUCACCCACCUCUUGCGUAUACAUAAUAGAACUGUGCUGAAAACGUAAUGUGUUUGUGUGUAUACCCAGCGAGUUGUGCUGGCGGGGGUCGAGACUCAGAUCCUAGCCCCCGCCUUCUGGACCACCUUGACCUGCAUCACUGGCUUCUGGUAUCUUGGGUCUUAUCAUAUCAACUCUUAAAGCCGAGCACUGAGUUUGUCUCCACCACUGCCUCAUCCAAGUCAUCCCACUUUUCAUCCACCCUGAGUCUAAAGAAAUUUUUUCUUACAUCCCUAUUGCUCAUCUAUGUCUUCAGCUUCCACCUGUGUCCCCUUGAUCCAGGUACUCCCAUUUCAUUUAGUCUAUCCCUAUCUGCUCUAUCAAUUCCUCUUAGGAUUUUCUAUGCUGUAGUCAUGCCUCCCCUCCACAGCUCAUACUCACAGCCAAACCACCAUUAAUCUUCGCUAGUUUUUGCAAUUGACCCACCUGAAAAAACUCAUUCCUUCAGCAGUAUCACAUCACUCGUGGACAGCAGGCUGAGACUGGAUCUAGGCACAUUAGAACAGCAUGUCAACAGAAAGCACCACUUGACUGACCAGACUAACAGAACUGCAUUUGUAUUGGCCUGAGUAAGUAGUGUUAAUUAAGCUGUUUCACGCAGGAAGAGGGUACCCAGGGCUCCAGCUACAGCAGAGAUCCUUAAUGAGAGACAGAACAGACCAGACAGAAGGGCAGAGCAGUGAGAACGAAGAGAAUUGGCGGAAGACCUCGUGUGUCUAAACAGAAGUUGUUCUGACCAGAGUCGUGUAGUUUAGUCCUUCUCAGCAGAGCUUCGGUACAAAUUGUCAUAGACUUAUUAUCUGUCUUUCCCACGUAAUCACUGAAAGGGAAAAAUGCUUAAUAUUUAUUCAAAUGUAGAGAACUUUACUAGGGCAAUAAUAAUUUAAUUGUAAAGCACUUUUAUAAGACUGAAUAAUUGAGGAAAAAAACUCUAACUCUGACCUAAAAAUUCUGAAAAGUGGCGAAGGUCAGAACAUAUCUUGGAUGUUGUUUAUAUAUGAAUGACUUCCUACACAUUUUAUAGUCAUGUGAAAUAUAAAGUGAGGCCGCCAGGCAUGCAUAAAAUGAACUUACACAAUAAUGCAUGCAUCUGAUAGAUAAAUGUCAGAGGAAAAAAUAUCCAAAAUUAUUCAUAGAUUCUACGAAUUAACUCUCUCUAUGAUGUAAGAGUAGCUGAAGCUUUCGCGGUGGUCCCUGCCGCGAGUGACUGAGAAUCAGGAUGUAGGGAAUGCGUAGGAUGUUCAGCAAAGAAAUCUCCUUGCCCCAUUUCUCUUUUUCAUAGCGGUUAGGGAAAUCACCAGCAGACUGACUAGUGAACUGAACAUCUAGUCCCUGGAUGAGGGCAAACUGGCAUGCACUAAGGAGUCCCUUCCAGCAGAUGUUGAUCCAGUGAUGACGCAGUGUCAAGACAUGGAACUCGUCCUGAAUCUUUCUGUUGCGACCCCUGAAUGGGUCACAAUGUAUAUAAUGUAUAUUACCUUUUCAUAUAAUUUUAUAUUGCUUAUAUUUGCGAUAAUAGCUAAAUCGUAAAUAUAUUGUUUAUAUUAUUAUUUGACUUAGUUACUUUUGUUAGGUAGGAUGUAACAUUUAUAUAUAUUAUUCAGUGCUCUUAGUUCAAGUCUUGAUUGUCUAACUACUGUAAUUAUUGCUCGUUGCUCGUUUCCCUGCCGGCUUCUCGGUGUUGCUGGGCAGCAGCUGUCCACGGAGCAAUCACGUGAUCAAGGGGGGUGUUCGCACCUCGCCUGGAGUAGUCAGUCCGGGCUAGACUCUCUUGGUGGUUGGACGUAUUCCUGACAAAACGUGCCUAACUCUCCUUUAUUGGCCCUUGUUGGAAGAUCGUCUCUGUCGCUUUCUUGUUGUUGGUUCUGUAGAACUCUGUUCACAGAACAUUGUCUAGACUUAGUGAUUUUCGACGUUGUACUGAGGUUGUGUGUCACAUAGACACUGAGCAACUCAGGUCCUGAGCUGUAGCUUCUGACCUAAUUUGUACUGGUAUCUGUGUACUGUCAAAGUCGGGGAUUUUCUUAUGCUGAACUUAGAUUCAGUAGUAUGGGAGUUUUGUGACUUUUGUGGAGGAUCUGCUUAUGGUCCCUACUUAGUGUCGUUAUAUUAUCUCCUUGGUCCUGAUUCUGUGUCGCAUCUGCUUGUUAUAUUGCUAUUGGGCUUAGCAGUCGUUUUAUUGUUCAAGCAAGCUAUUCUGAUUGCCAGGUGGUCAAAAAGUUAGUUAAUGUGAGAACUUAGUCAGUCACUAGUUAAGUCUAGUUGAUUUUUGAGACAUAGCAAACUACUUAGAGCACUUACACAAACUUACUUGUACAUAUUUGUAAGUCUUAUUAAAUGUUAAUGUACCAGACGGUACUUAAGACGUAUAAAUGUGAUAUGUGCCUUCAGCACAAUACUUCUGUACAUGAGAGAAGUGAUUAUUAUUAGUAUUAUUUUGAUUUUGGUUAAUUUAAUUUACUUUGUUCUUAUACCUCUAGACUUUGUUAUUAAUAAAUUUAUUAAAUUUUA